CAAUAGCGUAUAUUUAAGUUGUUGCAGUUAAAAAGCUCGUAGUUGGAUUUCGGUUAAGAGCGACCGGUCCGCCGUUUGGUGUGCACUGGUUGGUUUUAACUUCCUGUAGAGGACGUGCUCUGGGUUUAACGACCUGGACUCGGAGUCUACGUGGUUACUUUGAAAAAAUUAGAGUGUUCAAAGCGGGCUUACGCUUGAAUAUUUCAGCAUGGAAUAACACUAUAGGACUCCUGUCCUAUUUCGUUGGUCUCGGGACGGGAGUAAUGAUUAAGAGGAACAGUUGGGGGCAUUCGUAUUUCAUUGUCAGAGGUGAAAUUCUUGGAUUUACGGAAGACGAACUACUGCGAAAGCAUUUACCAAGGAUGUUUUCAUUAA
rnacentral:rRNA from 1 species